rnacentral:rRNA from 1 species
AAGAUUUGUUAUUAAUUUGAUUUAUAUGUAAAUUUUAGUGAGAAAUUUUAUUAAUUUUAAAAAUUAUUGAAUUUUAUAUAGUCGCAGUAAUUAAUUUUGUUAAUUAAAGAAAUUUAGAAACAGUAAUAUUAAAGAGUAUAGAUAAAAUUGGUGCCAGCAAUCGCGGUUACACCAGUUAUACAAAUAAAUUAUUUUAGUGUAAGUUAAAUUAAUUUAUUUUAAAAAAAAAAUGAAUUUAUUAAGUGAAAUUUUUAAAUUUAAAAUUUUUAUAAAAAAAAUAAUUGAAGAUUGGAAAUUUUAU